GAUGAACGCUGGCGGCGUGCCUAAUACAUGCAAGUCGAGCGAACAGACGAGGAGCUUGCUCCUCUGACGUUAGCGGCGGACGGGUGAGUAACACGUGGAUAACCUACCUAUAAGACUGGGAUAACUUCGGGAAACCGGAGCUAAUACCGGAUAAUAUAUUGAACCGCAUGGUUCAAUAGUGAAAGACGGUUUUGCUGUCACUUUAGAUGGAUCCGCGCCGCAUUAGCUAGUUGGUAAGGUAACGGCUUACCAAGGCAACGAUGCGUAGCCGACCUGAGAGGGUGAUCGGCCACACUGGAACUGAGACACGGUCCAGACUCCUACGGGAGGCAGCAGUAGGGAAUCUUCCGCAAUGGGCGAAAGCCUGACGGAGCAACGCCGCGUGAGUGAUGAAGGUCUUCGGAUUGUAAAACUCUGUUAUUAGGGAAGAACAAAUGUGUAAGUAACUAUGCACGUCUUGACGGUACCUAAUCAGAAAGCCACGGCUAACUACGUG
rnacentral:rRNA from 1 species